rnacentral:rRNA from 1 species
CACUCCUACGGGAGGCAGCAGUGGGGAAUUUUGGACAAUGGGCGAAAGCCUGAUCCAGCAAUGCCGCGUGAGUGAAGAAGGCCUUCGGGUUGUAAAGCUCUUUUGUCAGGGAAGAAACGGUGAAAGCUAAUAUCUUUUGCUAAUGACGGUACCUGAAGAAUAAGCACCGGCUAACUACGUGCCAGCAGCCGCGGUAAUACGUAGGGUGCAAGCGUUAAUCGGAAUUACUGGGCGUAAAGCGUGCGCAGGCGGUUUUGUAAGUCUGAUGUGAAAUCCCCGGGCUCAACCUGGGAAUUGCAUUGGAGACUGCAAGGCUAGAAUCUGGCAGAGGGGGGUAGAAUUCCACGUGUAGCAGUGAAAUGCGUAGAUAUGUGGAGGAACACCGAUGGCGAAGGCAGCCCCCUGGGUCAAGAUUGACGCUCAUGCACGAAAGCGUGGGGAGCAAACAGGAUUAGAAACCCGUGUAGUCCCAUGA